AGGAGGCCGAGACCCCAGACGGGUAUGAGACUCCCAGACGGCGACUGUUAUGUAAAAUUGCAAUCGCAUCAAAUGCUCCGAAUCAUAAUCCCACUCCCCGAAAAAAAAAGAGGGAACAAAUACAAUAAAACACUCGUAUGGAACGGAACGAAGCAAGCUCCCUUGUCACCAGGUUUAUAUAAUAGUGUUUGUUGACUCGCCCGACCAUUCGCAUUCGGACAGAAUUUGUCCCACUUUGGGGACAAUGUAGACGCGAUAAUCAAAACACCCACGAAAAUAAACACCAGACCGAAAGUACAGACAUCGACAAGAAGAUACCGAAAUAUGAAUAUAUAUAAGCGAUUGGAAUGCGAAAUGAGUCAAGUCAAAACUAAGACAGAAUUUGGUUCAAGUUUUUGAUUUUUCAUUAACUUUUCAAGGCUGUUGUCUCGCCUGAUCGCAAACCAUCCCGAACCACACAAUGGCACUCUUCCAUCCCAGUAAUUGGCAGUUAGUUGUGCUUUUCUUUUGAUCUUGAUCGAUGAUCGAUGGACAUCGGAUCCGGACCACGCUUUUUGGCAUUUCUCUGAGCUUUUUGUCAAAACCAAUUUUCUGUCGAGUUCGUACUACGAGUAUGCCUCACGGUCGGACCACUUUGGGCAGCUAUAUUUUAAACGGUAGCCGGCAAUGGCGAUUGCGCCGCCAAUGAGCAACAAUUCCGUCCGCAUAUCUGCAGGUGCGUGUUUGCACGUGGGGGGCGCCGCUUAACACCGGUAGCACCCGUAGCACCAGAAGCACCACUAUCAGCACCACCUUCCCCCCUAUCAUCUCCACCUGUCCAAAACAUUUGGCUGCUCGAUCGGUCGUUAAUCGAUUGCUAACACUUAAAUUUGAAGUGAUUGCAAGACUGCCAUCGGACAAACACCAGCUGAAUAGUUACAAGUUGGCACUUGAGUUCUGGCACCUUUCUAUAAUUAAGCCCCCCCACAAUUAGCGGGGCCUUAAAGAUGAUAAGGCAAGGUGUUUUAGGUCUACCUGCUUAUCGGAGCAGAAGCGUGAUUGAACUAGACAAAAAUAGUACAGCGCUUACUAGAACAUCGACCAUGGUGUGACCUCUGCAAACUGCGAUAGCGACUCAAAAAACUCUCUUUUCAGUAUGGUAUGUCUUGAGCAACACUCUAAGAUUUUAAUAUUUGGACGUUGAUAUGCAUCUUUCAAGUGGCGAUGCAAUUACUGCACCAUCAAGUGGUCGGUGUGGCACCAGCAGAAGGCAGUUACGCGCGGAUCCCAGGCAAAACGCAGCCCUCCUCCCGCCCAACCGACCGAGGAGCGCUGCCGCAUGAAGCGCGGCGCGUAGCCGAAACGAACGCGAUCUGUUAGAUUAAUAUGCAAACCACAAAUACUAUAUGCCUGCCUGCCGCUAAUUACGAGUAAUCAGUCACUCAUAAUCAAAUUGAAUACCACUCAAAUUAAUUGACAUGUGGCAAGCAGAUUACAUUAUUCUGUUAUGGGUCGACUUUUAUCGGAUCGGUAGAAAAUUCCGUGAUUUUUGUUUACUUGGAGCUUCUCAGAUUAAAUCAAUUUGACAUUACCAAUCCUUUCCAAACGGUUCAAUACUUCUGACAUAAAGUUUAUUGAGGAAGCAUCGCAAAACUAUUAUAGCUGCAAAUCAUCAGAUUAGUUAGUUGCAGAGUCCAACAUGCGACGACACGACCUUGAGAUCAUGAGAUACCGAUGACAAUGUUUGUGACCACUUAUAGUAGGCACCACAAUUCAUUAGAAUCAAUGUUCGCAUAAAAAUAUACAAUACGAGUAUAUUCGCAAUGAAAUAUGAUAAAAGGUGGGGACCCCAAAUUGCAUAAUACCCGUGUUAUUGGAGAGCGUAUUCACUCCUGACAAUCAUCCAUCCCCGUGGACAUUAAUUAUGCAAGCUGGGCGAUGCAUGAGGGAUCACAAAAUCAUCAAACUACUGGCAGUCUCUUGGUCUCUUUCGGUCGCACCAUCGGGCCACAAGACAACAGAAGCAACAGAUUCGAGCGCAUCGAGACGGAGAAGGAGAACAUUCCCUGGAGGUGGAGCGCGGACUUGUGGCAGAUAACCAUCGCAUAUUGGAGUUGCUUCUUUUUGAGCCACAACACGCCAAAUUGUCGCCGCUGUUAAUUGCCUUCGGUCGGCCAUCUUGUCGGGACUUGUCGAUGACUAAGCAAAGAACGAAACUUGGGGUCUGGAGGCUGCCUCCUGCCUCCUGGCUCCUGGCUGUCUGUUGUCUUACUAACAUGGAACGUAAAUUAAUGCAGAUACGAGUACGAGCAGUCCCCUGUCCUGUCCAUGUCCAGACGUGGCCAAGACAGCCAAGAACCACCACCAAUUUGUGGUGUGGUGUGUGGUAGUAAAAGUGAAAAGUAACUCUCAGCCAAUGGAUCGCAAUCGUCACUUUAUCUAUCGAAUGAGGCACCUGUCGCCACGCCAUCACUAUAAGCGGACUGGCCAGACCAUUGAGUGAUAGAGUCUGCGAAUGAGCUUCAGAUUCAGCCUCUAAAUAAAUAAAUGAAGAUGCAACCAGUCCGUAAAUGGCAUAAAUGCCUUCCAUACCCUAGCAUUCUCCUCUCGUUACGUGAUUACAUAUAGACAUAUAGUAGCUGCUGCAGAAGUAUAAAUAAAUAUUGUACAUACAAUAUAUCGGUUUUGGGUCUGCAGCGUAUUUAUAAGUACCGCUGGGAAAGGGACUCGAUGCCUGGGAUGGCUGGGAUGGCACGUGCCGGCACGUCAGGAUGCCAGACCCUUCUUAGCCCUGCCAAGAUGACGAUGUCAGGCAGAAUGUACGAGUAUGUAUAAAUUGUGGGCCAGGCAGGCCAUAGCUAUGGCAAUGACUUAUAAAUGAAUGAAAUGUCGUUUAUGGUAAUUUUUCCCUGUCCAAGUAUGUGCUGCGAGUUUGCGAAACUAUGCCAAUGAUGGACAACUUUUCCAAAUGGGGUUAAUAAAAUCGAAAAAUCUCCGAAAUGGGAACACUACUCGGCUAUACUCGUAUAAGGAGACGUGUGCGCAUCAUACUUGCCCUAUUUUAAGUUUAAAAUUUAAUUUUAACACAUUUUAAAUGUUUGUAUUCUUUAUACAACUUUAAGGUCUUUUGAGGACUCACAAUACACAAGAGUCUGUUUAAGAGUCUAAGCCUCUUGUUGUUGUUCUACAUAUAUUCAAGCACCUUUUAAAAAAUAUGGACAUUUCCGCCAAAAGACAGACCAUGGAAAAGUCAAUAAAACAGAUUUCCAUGUAAAAUUUUUCAGAUUUUAUUUUCUAAAUUUAUUGAAAGUUAACUAAUUUACCCAAUUGACAUUAAACCUUCCCUUUUUUGGUAUUUUUAAAGUCAUGUUUUUCUUUACUUUUACCUCCUAUAAGAAAGAUGAUUCUGAUUUUCUGAUUCUGACUUAGUUUUUCCCCAAAGUCUCUCUUACCUAUUAAACUAUCUAAACAAAUCACAGAAAAUUAGCCCAGUCUCGGCUAACGGUAUAGUUUUUAACUUUUAAUAGUUGUAAAGUAUUUUGUAGUCUUAGUAUAAAAAUAUUUUAUAUAUUCCCCUAUUUUACAUUUUGUCGCACGAAUGUAACGUAACGCCAGAAUGGAACUUCCCUUAUGCAGUUAUUCUCAGAUCAGAAGGUUUUUGGCUUUUGUCUUUAGAAUGUGACAUAUUCCUAUUAAUUCUAUUAAGACGGGAAAUACACUACACGAAAAUACACGUCAUCUUUCAUUCAAAUUACAACGUUAAAUGUACUGCUUUUUACACAGCUUUAAUACAUGACAAUUGACAAUACAUUUUGUUCCCGCCUGAAAGCAUGCUUAUCAUACGAACUUUUUAAUCUAGAUUUUACUCGAAAUAAUGUUAUUUGGGGUCAAUUUUUUCAUAUUUUUGAACAUACAUAUAUUCAUCUACCUAUUAUCUCUGGAAGAAAGAUAACCUGUCAUCGGGAAUAAAAGGGUAAAAAAAUUACUUUUAAACAAAUUUCAGUAACGGUUUUACUGUGGCGCCACUGAAUAUGUAGAUAUUCAUGUAUGAGUAAAAAAAACUACUUUGGUAAAAUAUGCCACAUUUGGAUAUUGGCCGGAUCUAUCUACAAAGGUCUCUCGCCUAAG